UUCCUACGGGGCGCAGCAGUGAGGAAUAUUGGUCAAUGGGCGGGAGCCUGAACCAGCCAAGUCGCGUGAGGGAAGACGGUCCUAUGGAUUGUAAACCUCUUUAGGCGGGGAGCAAUGCCGGGCACGCGUGCCCGGAGGGAGAGUACCCGCAGAAUAAGCAUCGGCUAACUCCGUGCCAGCAGCCGCGGUAAUACGUAGGGGGCAAGCGUUAUCCGGAUUUACUGGGUGUAAAGGGAGCGUAGACGGCGCGGCAAGUCUGAAGUGAAAGGCAGGGGCUUAACCCCUGAACUGCUUUGGAAACUGCC
rnacentral:rRNA from 1 species